GGUGUGUAGUUAAUAGCUGCACAUCUUGACGUUAGCAACAGAAGAAGCACCGGCUAACUCCGUGCCAGCAGCCGCGGUAAUACGGAGGGUGCGAGCGUUAAUCGGAAUUACUGGGCGUAAAGCGCAUGCAGGUGGUUCAUUAAGUCAGAUGUGAAAGCCCGGGGCUCAACCUCGGAACUGCAUUUGAAACUGGUGAACUAGAGUGCUGUAGAGGGGGGUAGAAUUUCAGGUGUAGCGGUGAAAUGCGUAGAGAUCUGAAGGAAUACCAGUGGCGAAGGCGGCCCCCUGGACAGACACUGACACUCAGAUGCGAAA
rnacentral:rRNA from 1 species